rnacentral:misc_RNA from 1 species
GAACGCACCUUGCACCCUUUGGUAUUCCGAAGGGUAUGCUCGUUUGAGUGUCAUUGUACUCUCACACUUCUGAUCCUUUGGAUUGGGAGCGGUGGACUUGGGUGCUGCUGCUUUGCUGUGGCUCACCUCAAAUGCAGUAGUGCAACUCUUGGUUGGACAUAGUACGGCGUGAUAAGUGUCUUCGCCGGCACCUCGCAAGAGGGUGGCUGAUCAGGGGCUCUGUGCUUCCAACGGUCUUCGGACAACAUUUGACAACUUGACCUCAAAUCGAGUAGGACCACCCGCUGAACUUAAG